rnacentral:rRNA from 1 species
AUUGAACGCUGGCGGCAGGCCUAACACAUGCAAGUCGAGCGGAUGAAGGGAGCUUUCUCCUGGAUUCAGCGGCGGACGGGUGAGUAAUGCCUAGGAAUCUGCCUGGUAUUUGGGGAUAACGUCCGUAAACGGGCGCUAAUACCGCAUACGUCCUGAGGGAGAACGUGGUGGAUCUUCGGACCUCACGCUAUCAGAUGAGCCUAGGUCGGAUUAGCUAGUUGGUGGGGUAAAGGCCUACCAAGGCGACGAUCCGUAACUGGUCUGAGAGGAUGAUCAGGCACACUGGAACUGAGACACGGUCCAGACUCCUACGGGAGGCAGCAGUGGGGAAUAUUGGACAAUGGGCGAAAGCCUGAUCCAGCAAUGCCGCGUGUGUGAAGAAGGUCUUCGGAUUGUAAAGCACUUUAAGUUGGGAGGAAGGGCAGUAAGUUAAUACAUUGCUGUUUUGACGUUACCAACAGAAUAAGCACCGGCUAACUUCGUG